GGGGAUCAAGCGAUUCCGUCACCUGCCGUCUGGUUAUGACGUCAUGCAGAUGAUGCGCAUGACUGCCCUGAAUGGCAUCGUCACGGCAUUGACCCGGCGUGAUGAGAUAACAAAGGCGUGACACGCAGCUUAUUCUUCUGCUUACCCGUAUUGAAGCCGGAGCCGAACCUCCAGAGUAUUAUGGGAUUCAUGUGAAGCGUCGCCCUAGUUCUCCGAAAUAGGCGCAAACACGGUCCCCACAAGCCAGCAGAUAAGGGCUGUCCUUACUCCACCGAAAAGAUGAUGAAUGAGUUUAAAACAUUCAAAACAAGACAUUGGUGCCCACUGCCGAGAAACUGCUCCUGGACGCGUCAUGGAUAAACAGUAUGAGCAAUACUCAGCUGGGACGAUGAGGCGGUGGAGCCAGAAGGGAAUAUUGAAGUGUUUCGUUACUUUUUACCUUUUUGAUUCUGCCUGCCAGUCCGUGUAGACAUUCAGACUAGAGACCGAUAGCAUUUGACUGAACCGCGUGCCUCUAUAUUUUUUCCAAUAAAAACAAAUUGAUUUCAUCAGCAGGAGGCGGUAGAGAGCAGACCAGCCCAUUGCCUGCAGAUGUUAGAAGAGCCACUAGGUGUCUCUAUUGUCAAACGUUACCGUCGAAAUGUUCCCGUAGUGAUUCUCGGGUGUCGGUGACCCCUUGCAGUUGUUUGGAGAAGCGUGAUGCUGGUUAUGCAAGCAUUGUAAGGUGCGUUUAUUUAUUGCGUGAUGCCUGUUAUGCAAUCGUGUGACAACUGAAGCAAGAUUUUGAAAACUCUCCUGGAUCUGGUAGCAACAUAUUGUGUGAUUUUAUUUAUUUAUUUUUUUUCUGAAAAUAAGAAUAAUGGAAAAACUGCUAUUCAGAAAGAAAUUGGCACCGUGGCCGUUAUCACUUGAAAUAUCUCAAAUGAGAAACAUUUGUAAGACAUGACCCACAGUUAAUAAGGGCCUUUAUCUUAAGUCCUUGGGAGCCUCGCGGCAAAAGAUUUUUGUUACGAAGACGAAGACCUAAUCCAUCAAUAUUCAUUCGUAUAGAUUAAGGCUGACAUAUGUAGAGCACAGAUGCAACGCUGAUGUUAUUUUUAAACACAUGCCACCUUUGUAUCUUGUGAUAAAAUUAUUGGGCUUAGAAAACCGCCUUUGUUCUGGCACAUGUAAUUAGAUACGAACCGUUUACUCCGACUGAAAAUCGAGGUGAAUCAAUUUUCCAUUUUCUUAAGGCUUCACAGCUAUCUGGCGACAAGCUAAUGACAGCACGGGACGCGGGGCAGGAUCAUUCAUCAAAGCAUCUUCAAACCUCGUUAGCCUCCGCAAAAUGACUGAAAUACAGCAGAAAAUCGCACACAGCCGACUCAAUCAAGUCACAAAGUUUUGCCUAAAAAUAAUUAUAUAUCUUGGCGCCUGGAUUUUGUAGGGCAACGCCAACCCACUCAGUUUUACUAAAAAAAACGGAUCUGUCACCAGAUGUAGAAGACGGACAGAGCAUGUACUAUAAAAUAUUUCUGUACUUUAUAGGUGGCAAAAUUUUAACAUUUGGA